rnacentral:rRNA from 1 species
UACAGAGGUCUCAAGCGUUGUUCGGAUUUACUGGGCGUAAAGGGUGCGUAGGCGGUAAGGAAAGUCAUCCGCGAAAGCCUCGGGCUUAACCUGGGAAUUGCAGAUGAUACUACCUUACUUGAGGUCUUAAGAGGAGAUUGGAAUUCACGGAGUAGCAGUGAAAUGCGUAGAGAUCGUGAGGAACACCAAGGGCGAAGGCAGGUCUCUGGGAAGAUACUGACGCUGAUGCACGAAGGCUAAGGUAGCAAACGGG